UCGAGAAUCUUCCGCAAUGGGCGAAAGCCUGACGGAGCGAUGCCGCGUGAGGGAUGAAGGCCUUCGGGUUGUAAACCUCUGUCGCCCGGGACGAAAUUUGACGGUACCGGGAGAGGAAGCUACGGCUAACUACGUGCCAGCAGCCGCGGUAAUACGUAGGUAGCGAGCGUUAUUCGGAUUUACUGGGCGUAAAGGGUCUGCAGGGGGCCUGCCAAGUCUGGCGUGAAAUUCCAAGGCUCAACCUUGGAACUGCGUUGGAUACUGGCGGGCUAGAGUGCAUGAGGGGAGAACAGAAUACCUGGUGUAGCGGUGGAAUGCGCAGAUAUCAGGUGGAACACCGACGGCGAAGGCGGUUCUCUGGCAUGCAACUGACGUUGAGAUGCGAAAGCUAGGGGAGCAAACA
rnacentral:rRNA from 1 species